GGGGUCAUCGGCGAGCUUGGCUAGGCUUCGAGGUUUGGGACCUUGCGACCCAGGUUCAAAUCCUGGUGACCCCA
rnacentral:tRNA from 1 species